UUGCAUCGACGAAGAAGUGACGGCAUGUAUUCUCAAAAUAGCUGCAAAUAGAUACAGAGAUCGGCGAUGUAGGCUUCAUAAAUACUGCAAUGAGUUGCAGGCGAAGGGAAUUGAUCCUGUGACCCAGCCAUACAGAAAUUGGGCUGGGUCUAGUGACGAUUGGCGGUGGUUAUGUGAGCAUUUUGGAAGUGAGACAUUUCAGCGACGAUCGGAGGUGAAUAAGGUGAAUAGGAGUAAGAUUGAUUCUAUUCACACGCAAGGAAGUGCCUCUUUUGCACAGGAAAUGAAGAGGAUGGUACGUAACUAUAUUUGCAAUCAUACUUUGUAAUUUCUUAUUAAAUAUUUAUAUUAUUUUGAUAUCUUUUUUUUCUUUUUUUGUUUGAACAUGGACUAUCUGGAGUCGACGCCUAUGCUAAAUUCUAUCAAAACAAGAGUGGCGAGUUCGUGACUGAGGAGGCGAGGCAGCGUCAUGUAAGUAUCAUUACUCUACAUUUUGAAUAUUUUUAAAGAGUUUGAAAAAAAAUUAUGAUUUUAUUUGGUUUAUUGUGAAGAAAAAAAUGUUAGAAUUGAGAGAGCAUGUGACGAGGGAGGUGGGAUCUGACGGUGAUACUGGAUCGCAGCAGGUUUGUUUGAUGACAGAUGAUACGAUUUUGGAUACCGUCCUCGGGCGGCAGCUAGGAUCUGGUCAUAGCAUGCGGUCCAAAAAAUCACGCAGUUCGUCAUCCGACCGGUCUGAUGAUGCAUCGGUGCCAGAGGCGGUUAGGACAUCCAUGAGCAUGAUGCAAGAUCAGAUUAGUUACUGGAUGAAUCGUAGUCAGACGCUCAAGAGGAUCGUAGCUGCGAUGGCGGGACGGCUCGGUAUUGAUACUUCUGAGUUAGCACCUCUACAGUCACAUGAUGCCGUCUCUGCACCACCAUCGCGACACAUAUCGGGUCAGGGAUCGAUGCCUGGAGAAGGGAACGAGGCCAACGAGUCAGAUCAUACCUAGUUUGUAGUUAUUUUAAAUUUAAAAUGGUGUAUGGACUUAUAUUUUUGUAUAUAACAAAGAUGGUUAUGAAACUUUUUGAUACUUGAAAUUGGUCUUUUGACUUAGAAUA